UACGACCAUAUCACGUUGAAACACCGGUUCUCGUAUGGUUCAAAAAGUUAAGCAACGUCGACGCUGGUCAGUACCUAAAUGGGUGACCGUUUGGGAAUACCAGGUGCUGUAAG